UUGGCGACAUUGGCCCUAAUGUCAAAACAUCUGUUACUCUAUCCUAUAUUUCUUAGAGGUUAUCUUUGCGUAUUUAUUUUUGAAAUAUGAAUUAAAAUUAUACUUAUAUUUAAAAGAAUCAAUGUGCUUUAUUUUUCCUGUAAAUAAAUAUUGCUUAUCUAAGUAAACAUUAAAAUAAUUAUCCGAUAUAUAGGAACAUAGAAGACCGGUAUUUAACUGAAAAGUAAAGAAGAUUUACUUCAAUAUGGAUUGUUAAGCUAACAACAACAAAUAAUUUUAAACUUAAGCACACAUGCUAUGCACCAACUAUGGCUACAAUUUUAGAAAA